rnacentral:rRNA from 1 species
UACGGAGGGUGCGAGCGUUGUCCGGAUUUAUUGGGUUUAAAGGGUGCGUAGGUGGCUUUUUAAGUCAGUGGUGAAAUACAGCCGCUCAACGGUUGAGGUGCCAUUGAUACUGUUAAGCUUGAAACAAGUGGAGGUUGCCGGAAUGGAUGGUGUAGCGGUGAAAUGCAUAGAUAUCAUCCAGAACACCGAUUGCGAAGGCAGGUGACUACGUUUGAUUUGACACUGAGGCACGAAAGCAUGGGGAGCAAACAGG